GAAAGCUUCAAAUCAAUAUCGUGAUAAGAUAUACGAGCUAAAGAAGGUGGGUAAGAAACCAAAGUUUGUGUAAUAAAAAAAGCCUGGGAGAGAUGGCAACAUGAAUGGAACAUGCUUGAAACCAAGCAGAUAUCAAAGCAGUAUUUCCAAAAUUAGCUGUGACACGCUUCUGAUGGCUUAGGACCAUCUAUACAUACAAGAGGCACAACUCCC
rnacentral:lncRNA from 1 species